AUUGAACGCUGGCGGCAGGCCUAACACAUGCAAGUCGAGCGGAUGAAGGGAGCUUGCUCCUGGAUUCAGCGGCGGACGGGUGAGUAAUGCCUAGGAAUCUGCCUGGUAGUGGGGGAUAACGUCCGGAAACGGGCGCUAAUACCGCAUACGUCCUGAGGGAGAAAGUGGGGGAUCUUCGGGCCUCACGCUAUCAGAUGAGCCUAGGUCGGAUUAGCUAGUUGGUGGGGUAAAGGCCUACCAAGGCGACGAUCUGUAACUGGUCUGAGAGGAUGAUCAGUCACACUGGAACUGAGACACGGUCCAGACUCCUACGGGAGGCAGCAGUGGGGAAUAUUGGACAAUGGGCGAAAGCCUGAUCCAGCCAUGCCGCGUGUGUGAAGAAGGUCUUCGGAUUGUAAAGCACUUUAAGUUGGGAGGAAGGGCAGUAAGUUAAUACCUUGCUGUUUUGACGUUACCAACAGAAUAAGCACCGGCUAACUUCGUG
rnacentral:rRNA from 1 species